rnacentral:rRNA from 1 species
GUGGGGAAUUUUGGACAAUGGGCGAAAGCCUGAUCCAGCCAUGCCGCGUGCAGGAUGAAGGCCUUCGGGUUGUAAACUGCUUUUGUACGGAACGAAAAGACUCCUUCUAAUAAAGGGGGUCCAUGACGGUACCGUAAGAAUAAGCACCGGCUAACUACGUGCCAGCAGCCGCGGUAAUACGUAGGGUGCAAGCGUUAAUCGGAAUUACUGGGCGUAAAGCGUGCGCAGGCGGGUAUAUAAGACAGAGGUGAAAUCCCCGGGCUCAACCUGGGAACUGCAUGUGUGACUGUAUAGCUAGAGUACGGUAGAGGGGGACGAAAUUCCGCGUGUAGCACUGAAAUGCGUAGAUAUGCGGAGGAACACCGAUGGCGAAGGCAAUCCCCUGGACCUGUACUGACGCUCAUGCACGAAAGCGUGGGGAGCAAACAGGAUUAGAUACCCUGGUAGUCC